rnacentral:rRNA from 1 species
UUCGCCCUUAGAGUUUGAUCCUGGCUCAGGACGAACGCUGGCGGCGCGCCUAACACAUGCAAGUCGAACGAGCGAGAGAGAGCUUGCUUUCUUGAGCGAGGGGCGAACGGGUGAGUAACACGUGAGGAACCUGCCUCAAAGAGGGGGACAACAGUUGGAAACGACUGCUAAUACCGCAUAAGCCCACGACCCGGCAUCGGGUAGAGGGAAAAGGAGCAAUCCGCUUUGAGAUGGCCUCGCGUCCGAUUAGCUAGUUGGUGAGGUAACGGCCCACCAAGGCGACGAUCGGUAGCCGGACUGAGAGGUUGAACGGCCACAUUGGGACUGAGACACGGCCCAGACUCCUACGGGAGGCAGCAGUGGGGAAUAUUGCACAAUGGGGGAAACCCUGAUGCAGCGACGCCGCGUGGAGGAAGAAGGUCUUCGGAUUGUAAACUCCUGUUGUUGAGGAAGAUAAUGACGGUACUCAACAAGGAAGUGACGGCUAACUACGUGCCAGCAGCCGCGGUAAAACGUAGGUCACAAGCGUUGUCCGGAAUUACUGGGUGUAAAGGGAGCGCAGGCGGGAAGACAAGUUGGAAGUGAAAUCCAUGGGCUCAACCCAUGAACUGCUUUCAAAACUGUUUUUCUUGAGUAGUGCAGAGGUAGGCGGAAUUCCCGGUGUAGCGGUGGAAUGCGUAGAUAUCGGGAGGAACACCAGUGGCGAAGGCGGCCUACUGGGCACCAACUGACGCUGAGGCUCGAAAGUGUGGGUAGCAAACAGGAUUAGAUACCCUGGUAGUCCACACUGUAAACGAUGAUUACUAGGGUUGGAAGGAUUGACCCCUUCAGUGCCGCAGUUAACACAAUAAGUAAUCCACCUGGGGAGUACGCCCGCAAGGUUGAAACUCAAAGGGAAUUGACGGGGGCCCGCACAAGCAGUGGAGUAUGUGGGUUUAAUUCGACGCAACGCGAAGAACCUUACCAAGUCUUGACAUCCCUUGACAGACAUAGAAAUAUGUAAUCUCUUCGGAGCAAGGAGACAGGUGGUGCAUGGUUGUCGUCAGCUCGUGUCGUGAGAUGUUGGGUUAAGUCCCGCAACGAGCGCAACCCCUAUUGUUAGUUGCUACGCAAGAGCACUCUAGCGAGACUGCCGUUGACAAAACGGAGGAAGGCGGGGACGACGUCAAAUCAUCAUGCCCCUUAUGUCCCGGGCUACACACGUAAUACAAUGGCGUAAACAAAGGGAAGCGAGAUCGUGAGAUGGAGCAAAUCCCAAAAAUAACGUCCCAGUUCGGACUGUAGUCUGCAACCCGACUACACGAAGCUGGAAUCGCUAGUAAUCGCGGAUCAGAAUGCCGCGGUGAAUACGUUCCCGGGUCUUGUACUAACCGCCCGUCA